AUAGCUAUAGGGCAGCACAGCAGGACCAUAGAGACGGUGGAUGCAGGCUGGUGUAAGGACAUCACAGACCAGGGAGCCACUCAGAUCGCCAGAACCAGCUGCUCUCUGAGGUACCUGGGCCUCAUGAGGUGUGACAAGGUGAACGAGGAGACAGUGGAGAGACUGGUGGUGCAGUACCCCCAUGUGGUGUUCAGCACGGUGAUGCAGGACUGUAAGAGGACCCUGGAGAGAGCCUACCAGAUGGGCUGGAGCCCCAACCUCUCCACCGCCUCCUAGCCACGGCCCGGAGCACACACACACACGUGUACACAUGCGUGCUCUCCCAUGCUCGUAAUCAUCGUUAUGGAUACGUGAUGUAGCAGUACGCUCAUGUUUACUCACACAAUAACUGUACAAACUCACGCAUGGACACACACACGAACAAUCCUCGUCUGAAGACAAAACAAAUCUUAGUUUUGAUUGUUUUUAUUUGAUUGAAGAUCUAUUUGAAAGUGGUUUUUAAUGAGGUUUUCAUAAUCUGCUUCCGUUGUAGUGCACUAAUCUGUACAUAACCCAGCCCAGUCCAUCUGGGGGCUGCGUUGUGUCCUGUUCCUACAUCCCCCUGACCCCACACCCUGGCCCAGCACCCUGACCCCGCACCCUGACCCCACACCCUGACCCCGCACCCUGACCCCACACCCUGACCCCGCACCCUGACCCCACACCCUGACCCCGCACCCUGACCCCACACCCUGACCCCACACCCUGGCCCAGCACCCUGACCCCGCACCCUGACCCCACACCCUGACCCCGCACCCUGACCCCGCACCCUGACCCCGCACCCUGACCCCGCACCCUGACCCCACACCCUGACCCCGCACCCUGACCCCACACCCUGGCCCAGCACCCUGACCCCACACCCUGACCCAGCACUGCUAGCACCCUCACUGGGGACGCGGGAUCUGGGGUCUGAGAUUAGUUGUGCCUUUUAAUCAUCCACAGAGCAGACAUCUUGGCUCUGCUCUGGACAACCUUGGACCUGAUCCUGGUUCUCCUCUAGAGAACCUGGUUCUCCUCUAGAGAACAUGGGACUGGAGAUCAGGGGUUUCCCUAUUGUGGGCCGGUCCUUUCAAAGAGAGGGAGAGUAGAGACAAGGAGAGUAGAGACAGGGAGAGUAGAGACAGGGAGAGUAGAGACAGGGAGAGCAGAGACAGGGAGAGCAGAGACAGGGAGAGUAGAGACAGGAAGAGUAGAGACAGGAAGAGUAGAGACAGGAAGAGUAGAGACAGGGAGAGUAGAGACAGGGAGAGUAGAGAAGUAGCGGAGAAGUAGCAGAUAUCAGAUCCACACAUGCAUAGAUCCAGCAGAGAGAAGGAUUGGGGAUGCUUUAAACGCCCCUGUAAAGCUGACCCAUAGAUGUUCAGGAGGACAGUUUGGUUUGACGUCUGGUGCGGGAGCAUCCUUCACUGUUAAGAGCAUAUAUAUAUACCUACGGUACAUGUAUAUGCACAGUACAUAUAUAUAUAUAUACUACGAUGUUAGUUAUGUAGCCAGGCAUUAACAAAUGACCUUUUGUUAGACGUAGGAUGUAAGACAGGUGUGAAACCUAUAAUCUUCGCUGGGUAGCCGGCUGUAGUUAGGAGAGAACUCAUCGCCUCGCCUGGUCGGUGAGGAAGGGUCUUGUAACAACAUCCACCAGAUAAGCAGGGUAUUUUCUACCGUGUCGACCAGCCAGACUCACCAGCGAGACGUCGUACUGUUGCAGAGCUCUGAGCUGGUGUAGCAGAUCUUUUUUUAGAACGUAGAGAUUUCCGACGGGAAGAGAACUUGUCGGUUUUACCCUCGUCAGGACUUUAAGAUCGACUUUCUUUUUUUCCUCUCUCUUUCUUCUCUCUCUCUCCAUUUUGUUCUUUUGUAAGACCUGCGUGCUCUUCCUCUCCCUGUUUGAUGUUGACACGCUUGAUCCCUGAUUUAUUAAGGCUACUGUAAAGGACUGGAUUUACAUAAGGAUGAAUAAAACACUACUGCUUACCCC